UGCCGUUUGACAAAAUACUAAUUGAAACCUUUAAUAGUGCACUUAAGAAUCUAAAUUAACAGAUUAAUUACAAUGAUAGCAUUAUUAGACGUAUGAAAGUUGAUUUAUGUAAGUUGGUAAAUUUUGUAUUAUAAUAAUAACGUUUAUAAAGAGGGUUGAAAGAUACCAGAGGGACGAAAGAUACCAGAGGGACAGUCAAUUGAUGUCUGGUUUCAUCAGUUUAUUAAAGUCAAUCACCUACUCUUGGGAAUUUUAAUAUUUAGGG
rnacentral:lncRNA from 1 species